UACGAAGGGGGCUAGCGUUGCUCGGAAUUACUGGGCGUAAAGAGUACGUAGGCGGACUGAUUAGUUGGUGGUGAAAUCCCAGGGCUCAACCUUGGAACUGCCAUCAAUACUGUCAGUCUGGAGCAUAGUAGAGGUUAGUGGAAUUCCAAGUGUAGAGGUGAAAUUCGUAGAUAUUUGGAGGAACACCAGUGGCGAAGGCGACUGACUGGGCUAUUGCUGACGCUGAGGUACGAAAGCGUGGGGAGCAAACAGG
rnacentral:rRNA from 1 species